rnacentral:rRNA from 1 species
GAUGAACGCUGGCGGCGUGCCUAAUACAUGCAAGUCGAGCGAACACACAAGGAGCUCGUUCUCCUGACGUUAGCGGCGGGCGGGCGAGUAACGCAUGGAUCACAUACCUCUAAGUCGUGGAUAACUUCGGAAAGCCAGAUCCAAUACCACAGCAUAUAAUGUACCGCUUGAUUCAAUAGAGAAUGGCACUUUUGCCGUUACUAAUAGCUGGUUCCGGGUCGCAUUAGCUAGUUGGUAAGGUAACGGCUUGCCAAGGCAACGAUGCGUAGCCGACCUGAGAGGGUGAUCGGCCACACUGGAACUGAGACACGGUCCAGACUCCUACGGGAGGCAGCAGUGGGGAAUAUUGGACAAUGGGCGAAAGCCUGACGGAGCAACGCCGCGUGAGUGAUGAAGGUCUUCGGAUCGUAAAGCUCUGUUAUUGGGAAAGAACAGAUGUGUAAGUAACUCUGCACGUCUUGACGGUACCUAAUCAGAAAGCCACGGCUAACUACGUG